AUUGAACGCUGGCGGCAUGCUUAAACACAUGCAAGUCGAAACGGAAACGAUGCUAGCUUGCUAGCAGGCGUCGAGUGGCGGGACGGGUGAGUAAUGCAUAGGAAUCUGCCUAUUAGUGGGGGAUAACACGGGGAAACUCGUGCUAAUACCGCAUAAUCUCUUUGGGAGGAAAGCGGGGGAUCUUCGGACCUUGUGCUGAUAGAUGAGCCUAUGUCGGAUUAGCUUGUUGGUGAGGUAAAGGCUUACCAAGGCGACGAUCCGUAGCUGGUUUGAGAGGAUGAUCAGCCACAUCGGGACUGAGACACGGCCCGAACUCCUACGGGAGGCAGCAGUGGGGAAUAUUGGACAAUGGGGGCAACCCUGAUCCAGCAAUGCCGCGUGUGUGAAGAAGGCCUUCGGGUUGUAAAGCACUUUCAGAUGUGAGAAAACGGUAGUAACUAAUAAUUGCUACAAUUGAUGUUAAUAUCAGAAGAAGCACCGGCUAACUCCGUGCCAGCAGCCGCGGUAAUACGGAGGGUGCGAGCGUUAAUCGGAAUUACUGGGCGUAAAGCGCGCGUAGGCGGUUAUUUAAGUCAGAUGUGAAAGCCCCGAGCUCAACUUGGGAACUGCAUUUGAAACUGGGUAACUUGAGUAUGGUAGAGGUAAGCGGAAUUUCCAGUGUAGCAGUGAAAUGCGUAGAGAUUGGAAGGAAUAUCGAUGGCGAAGGCAGCUUACUGGGCCAAUACUGACGCUCAUGUGCGAAAGCGUGGGUAGCGAACGGG
rnacentral:rRNA from 1 species